UGGGUGACUGUGGGCUGAGCAGC
rnacentral:piRNA from 1 species